rnacentral:rRNA from 1 species
AUUGAACGCUGGCGGCAGGCCUAACACAUGCAAGUCGAGCGAGCGGCGGACGGGUGCGUAAUGUAUGGGGACUGCCCGAUAGCGGGGGAUAACUACUGGAAACGGUAGCUAAUACCGCAUACUAUCGGAUAACCCAUAUGGGAUUAGCUAGUAGGUGAGGUAAUGGCUCACCUAGGCGACGAUCCCUAGCUGGUCUGGGAGGUUUAUAGGCCACACUGGGACUGAGACACGGCCCAGACUCCUACGGAGGCAGCAGUGGGGAAUAUUCCGCAAUGGGCGCAAGCCUGAUGCAGCCAUGCCGCGUGUAUGAAGAAGGCCCUAGGGUUGUAAAGUACUUUCAGUCGGGAGGCGUUACCUACACAAGAAGCACCGGCUAACUCCGUGCCAGCCGCCGCGGUAAUAC